GCUGACGUAGCUCAAUGGUAGAGCACCUGUUUUGUAAACAGGUGGUUAGGGGUUCAAGUCCCCUCGUCAGCU
rnacentral:tRNA from 1 species